GAUGAACGCUGGCGGCGUGCCUAAUACAUGCAAGUCGAGCGAACAGAUAAGGAGCUUGCUCCUUUGACGUUAGCGGCGGACGGGUGAGUAACACGUGGGUAACCUACCUAUAAGACUGGGAUAACUUCGGGAAACCGGAGCUAAUACCGGAUAACAUUUGGAACCGCAUGGUUCUAAAGUGAAAGAUGGUUUUGCUAUCACUUAUAGAUGGACCCGCGCCGUAUUAGCUAGUUGGUAAGGUAACGGCUUACCAAGGCGACGAUACGUAGCCGACCUGAGAGGGUGAUCGGCCACACUGGAACUGAGACACGGUCCAGACUCCUACGGGAGGCAGCAGUAGGGAAUCUUCCGCAAUGGGCGAAAGCCUGACGGAGCAACGCCGCGUGAGUGAUGAAGGGUUUCGGCGCGUAAAACUCUGUUAUUAGGGAAGAACAAAUGUGUAAGUAACUGUGCACGUCCUGACGGUACCUAAUCAGAAAGCCACGGCUAACUACGUG
rnacentral:rRNA from 1 species